UGUGCGCGUGCGCCACUCGUGGUGCGCGCACACACAGAGGGAGGAUGGGCCGACCCACAGUUGGUCGGCUCCGCACUCCCAGGGCGUCUCGAGUUCAAUGCGAACUGAGGCGCACCUAGAGCGUACACGCUGGGACCCGAAAGAUGGUGAACUAUGCCUGGUCAGGACGAAGUCAGGGGAAACCCUGAUGGAGGUCCGUAGCGAUUCUGACGUGCAAAUCGAUCGUCGGAACUGGGUAUAGGGGCGAAAGACUAAUCGAACCAUCUAGUAGCUGGUUCCCUCCGAAGUUUCCCUCAGGAUAGCUGGCGCUCAAAUAUGGCGGACGGUCCCUAUACGGGACGCGCUAACUAAAGAGUUUCUUCCGGUAAAGCGAAUGAUUAGAGGCAUUGGGGUCGAAACGACCUCAACCUAUUCUCAAACUUUAAAUGGGUGAGAUCUCCGGCUUACUUGAUAAUAUAUAUAUGGCAUAAUUAUGAAAUGUAUGUGAAGCCGCGAGAAUUGAAUCAGAGUGCCAAGUGGGCCACUUUUGGUAAGCAGAACUGGCGCUGU
rnacentral:rRNA from 1 species